UGCUAGUUGCACGGGUUUAGACCCGUAGCAGAAAGCUCAGUAACACGUGGCCAAACUGCCCUAUGGACAAGAACAACCUCGGGAAACUGAGGCUAAUUCUUGAUACAGCUCUCCUGCUGGAGUGCAGAGAGCUGGAAACGCUCCGGCGCCAUAGGAUGUGGCUGCGGCCGAUUAGGUAGACGGUGGGGUAACGGCCCACCGUGCCGAUAAUCGGUACGGGCUGUGAGAGCAAGAGCCCGGAGACGGUAUCUGAGACAAGAUACCGGGCCCUACGGGGCGCAGCAGGCGCGAAACCUUUACACUGCACGACAGUGCGAUAGGGGGACUCCGAGUGCGAGGGCAUAUAGCCCUCGCUUUUCUGUACCCUAAGGUGGUACAGGAACAAGUGCUGGGCAAGACCGGUGCCAGCCGCCGCGGUAAUACCGGCAGCACGAGUGAUGGCCGAUAUUAUUGGGCCUAAAGCGUCCGUAGCUGGCCAGACAAGUCCGUUGGGAAAUCGACGUGCCUAACACGUCGGCGUCCGGCGGAAACUGUUUGGCUUGGAGCCGGAAGACCCGAGGGGUACGUCCGGGGUAGGAGUGAAAUCCCGUAAUCCUGGACGGACCACCGAUGGCGAAAGCACCUCGGGAAGACGGACUCGACAGUGAGGGACGAAAGCUGGGGUCUCGAACCGGAUUAGAUACCCGGGUAGUCCCAGCUGUAAACGAUGCUCGCUAGGUGUGGCGUAGGCUACGAGCCUGCGCUGUGCCGUA
rnacentral:rRNA from 1 species